rnacentral:rRNA from 1 species
UACGGAGGAUGCAAGCGUUAUCCGGAUUUAUUGGGUUUAAAGGGUGCGCAGGCGGGCUUGUAAGUCAGUGGUGAAAAACUGCCGCUUAACGGUAGAGGUGCCAUUGAUACUGCGAGUCUUGAGUAUGGUUGAGGUAGGCGGAAUGUGCAGUGUAGCGGUGAAAUGCAUAGAGAUUGCACAGAACACCGAUUGCGGAGGCAGCUUACUAAGCCAAUACUGACGCUGAGGCACGAAAGCGUGGGGAGCGAACAGGAUUAGAUACCCUGGUAGUCCACGCCGUAAACGAUGUUCACUCGCUGUUUGCGAUACACAGUAAGCGGCUGAGCGAAAGCAUUAAGUGAACCACCUGGGGAGUACGAUCGCAAGGUUGAA